AAACUUCUGAACAUCUUGGUCACUGGAAUACCAGGGGCUGGAAAAAACAGGACUGAAGUACAAAAAUGUGGCUGAUUUAGCUCCAGGAGGGCAGGUUUUUAUAUGAUGGCUAUGAUGAAUAAUAUGAUUGUCUCAUUUUAGAUAAUGAUAGAGCUGUUGAUGAGUUAGAGAGUCAGAUGAGACAAGGCAGGAUUAUUGUUGAUUACUGUGGUUAUGAGUCCUUUCCUGAACACUGAAUUCAUAUAGUGUUUGUAUUCAGAAGUAAUGGUAUAUUGUUAAAAAAAAAAAAAGACUUGAAACAAGGGGGGUUAAUGAGGAGAGAAUACAAGACAGGAUUCAGUGUGAGAGUUUUCAAGUUCUUUAUGAAGAAGCCAUAGCAUCUUACAAAGAAGAAAUUGUGCAUCCACUACCCAAUAAUGAACUAGAAGAAUUAAAUGAUAAUGUCAACUUAAUCACAAAAUGGAUUGGGCAAUGGGUCAAGGAUAACAAC
rnacentral:lncRNA from 1 species